UCUAUCGUCCAUAUGGAUUGUACCGGCCUGAACCACCAGCCAAAUUUCCCCUGCUUCUUUCAGGUGUGCUACCAGAUGCAUAACCACCUAGUGCAGGAUCAUAUGCUGCGCCGCCAUACAUAGCGCCACCAAAGCUAGAACUACUGAGGCCACCAAAGCUCUCAUCACCACCACGCCUGUAUCCACUUAAGUUCCCACCAGCGUAAGGUCCAUCAAAACCUCCUCCAUACGGCCCAACACGACUAGCAUAACCAAAAGAAGGCAUGCUUCCAGAUCCUCCUAAUCCUGGAUAGUAACGGCCAUACUGAACACCAUAUUCACCUAUCCCACCAUAACCACUGAGACUACCACCACCAUAAACUCCAUGGUUCCUAUAAGGCCCAAAUCCACCACUGUUGUAGUUGCUAUAAGCAUUGGCCAGUCCACCAUAGUCAUUGCCAGAAGAAUGACCCCUAGAAUCCCUACCAUAUGCUGAUCUAGAGGCACUACCAUGUGAUGAUGGUGGUGGAUUUGAGGAUUUCUUUGGUUCUGCUUUCUUGAUCUCCACCUACAAAGCAAAUGACCGAAAUCAAUCAUAUUUCCAUUUGCUAAUAAAUCAUCUACAACCUGAUCAGAACUAAAAACUAUAAAUCCAAAGCCUCGUGAACGCUUGGUUUGAUGAUCACGCAUAAUCUGAUGGUCCACCACAGGGCCAUAUUUCUGGAAGAAAUGCUUGAAAUCAUCUGAUACAUCAUACAUUGCUUGAGGAAGCCCACCAACAAAUAUCUUUUUAGUUUUGAAAUCCUUUGAUUGCACAGAAUCUUUUGGAAUGGUUCUCUUGAUUUCAACCUGCUUUCCAUUGAAUUCAUGGAUAUCAUCCAUCACUCUAUCCACAACGGCAGGGUUAGAAUAUGUAAUAAAGCCAAAGCCCCUUGGCUGAGAUGUGUGCUUAUCCCUCAUUAUCACUGAAUCAACUAUUUCUCCAUACUGGCCAAAAUGCUUC
rnacentral:sRNA from 1 species